CAUUACGAAAAAGAAGAAGAGAAGAAAGAAGAAGAAAGAGAGAAAUAGAGAGGGGGUGGAAGGGAGGGAAUUUUUUCUUCUUAUUUCUUUCCGCUUAAUCUUGAGAAAAAGCCCUUCCCCUUAACUUUCUCCUU
rnacentral:ribozyme from 13 species